rnacentral:rRNA from 1 species
UACGUAGGGUGCAAGCGUUAAUCGGAAUUACUGGGCGUAAAGCGUGCGCAGGCGGUUUUGUAAGUUUGUCGUGAAAGCCCCGGGCUCAACCUGGGAAUUGCGAUGAAGACUGCAAGGCUUGAAUCUGGCAGAGGGGGGUAGAAUUCCACGUGUAGCAGUGAAAUGCGUAGAGAUGUGGAGGAACACCGAUGGCGAAGGCAGCCCCCUGGGUCAAGAUUGACGCUCAUGCACGAAAGCGUGGGGAGCAACCAGG